rnacentral:rRNA from 1 species
UACGGAGGGUGCUAGCGUUGUUCGGAAUUACUGGGCGUAAAGCGCACGUAGGCGGAUUGGAAAGUCAGGGGUGAAAUCCCGGGGCUCAACCCCGGAACUGCCUUUGAAACUCCCAGUCUUGAGGUCGAGAGAGGUGAGUGGAAUUCCGAGUGUAGAGGUGAAAUUCGUAGAUAUUCGGAGGAACACCAGUGGCGAAGGCGGCUCACUGGCUCGAUACUGACGCUGAGGUGCGAAAGCGUGGGGAGCAAACAGG